GCGGACAGUGUCUGGUGGGUAGUUUGACUGGGGCGGUCUCCUCCUAAAGAGUAACGGAGGAGCACGAAGGUUGGCUAAUCCUGGUCGGACAUCAGGAGGUUAGUGCAAUGGCAUAAGCCAGCUUGACUGCGAGCGUGACGGCGCGAGCAGGUGCGAAAGCAGGUCAUAGUGAUCCGGUGGUUCUGAAUGGAAGGGCCAUCGCUCAACGGAUAAAAGGUACUCCGGGGAUAACAGGCUGAUACCGCCCAAGAGUUCAUAUCGACGGCGGUGUUUGGCACCUCGAUGUCGGCUCAUCACAUCCUGGGGCUGAAGUAGGUCCCAAGGGUAUGGCUGUUCGCCAUUUAAAGUGGUACGCGAGCUGGGUUUAGAACGUCGUGAGACAGUUCGGUCCCUAUCUGCCGUGGGCGCUGGAGAACUGAGGGGGGCUGCUCCUAGUACGAGAGGACCGGAGUGGACGCAUCACUGGUGUUCGGGUUGUCAUGCCAAUGGCACUGCCCGGUAGCUAAAUGCGGAAGAGAUAAGUGCUGAAAGCAUCUAAGCACGAAACUUGCCCCGAGAUGAGUUCUCCCUGAGACUUUAGGUCUCCUGAAGGAACGUUGAAGACGACGACGUUGAUAGGCCGGGUGUGUAAGCGCAGCGAUGCGUUGAGCUAACCGGUACUAAUGAACCGUGAGGCUUAACCUU
rnacentral:rRNA from 1 species